CAGCCGCCGCGGUAAGACGAACCGUGCGAACGUUAUUCGGAAUCACUGGGCUUAAAGCGCGUGUAGGCGGGAGGGCACGUCCGUCGCUGAAAUCCCCCGGCUCAACCGGGGAACGGGCGCGGAUACGACCCUUCUGGAGGAACGUAGGGGGACCUGGAACUUCCGGUGGAGCGGUGAAAUGCGUUGAGAUCGGAAGGAACGCCCGUGGCGAAAGCGAGGUCCUGGACGUUUACUGACGCUGAGACGCGAAAGCCAGGGGAGCGAACGGGAUUAGAUACCCCAGUAGUCCCUGUCUCUUAUA
rnacentral:rRNA from 1 species